UAGUCAUACGCUCAAAUUACAGAUUAAGCCAUGCAAGUCUCUGUAUAAACAAUUUUGUACUGUGAAACUGCGAAUGGCUCAUUAUAUCAGUUAUAGUUUAUUUGAUAGUACCUUACUACUUGGAUAACCGUAGUAAUUCUAGAGCUAAUACAUGCAUAAAUACCCGACUAUCUUUUUGUUGGAAGGGUAGCAUUUAUUAGAUUGAAACCAAUGCAGUGCACUUGUGUACUGGUAAUUUGGUGAGUCAUAAUAACUGUGCGGAUUGCAAUUUUUUGCAAUAGAUCAUAUAAGUUUCUGCCCUAUCAGUUUAUUCAGAGUGCAUUGGACUCCGAAGACUUUGACGGGUAACGGAAAAUUAGGGUUUGAUUCCGGAGAGGGAGCCUGAGAAACGGCUACCAGUUCUAAGGAAGGCGAGCGAGGCGCGUAAAUUACCCGAAUCCUGAAACGGGGAGGUAGUAACGAUAAAUAACGAUGUUGGGCUUU
rnacentral:rRNA from 1 species